UGGUCCCUUGGCCCAGUUGGAUAGAGCAACUGCCUCCUAAGCAGUAGGUCCCCGGUUCGAUUCCGGGAGGGAUCAU
rnacentral:tRNA from 2 species